UCAGUCGGAUUUCUCACCUUC
rnacentral:miRNA from 1 species